UACGUAGGGUGCAAGCGUUAUUCGGAAUUACUGGGCGUAAAGCGUGCGCAGGCGGUUUUGUAAGUCUGUCGUGAAAUCCCCGGGCUCAACCUGGGAAUUGCGAUGGAGACUGCAAGGCUAGAAUCUGGCAGAGGGGGGUAGAAUUCCACGUGUAGCAGUGAAAUGCGUAGAGAUGUGGAGGAACACCGAUGGCGAAGGCAGCCCCCUGGGUCAAGAUUGACGCUCAUGCACGAAAGCGUGGGGAGCAAACAGG
rnacentral:rRNA from 1 species